rnacentral:misc_RNA from 1 species
CGCAGUCAAAUUCACUUUUCCCAUCUUCAACACUUGCCGAUCUCUGAGUUCUCCGAGUCGAUUCAGAAAUGGCUUUAGGUGGAACAGCUCCCCCAAGAGGCAGCGCAGCAGCAGCUGCUAGCAUGCGCAGGAGGAGGACAACGAGUGGUGGGGCCUCAGGAGGAGCAGCUGGGACUAUGCUUCAGUUCUACACUGAUGAUGCUCCAGGACUCAAAAUCUCUCCAAAUGUUGUACUAAUAAUGAGCAUUGGGUUCAUAGCUUUUGUUGCGAUUCUUCAUGUUGUGGGUAAACUCUACUUUGUUCGUAGAGAGGCUUAGAAGUGUCGGUCACUGAAAUGAAUUGGAGUCGGUUGUCACUGAAAUGAAUUUGAGUCAGUUUGUCUGUUGGAUAUCCAUUUUCAAUUGUUUUU